ensembl:misc_RNA Metazoa_SRP Metazoan signal recognition particle RNA
GCCAGGCUCCGUAGAGUGUGCCUGUAGUCUCAGCUACUCGGGAGGCUGAGGUGGGAGAAUUGUUUGAGCCCAGGAGUUCUGGGUUGUAAUGCGCUAUGCCAAUCGGUGUCUGCACUAAGUUCAGCAUCAAUAUGGUGACCUCCCAGGACCGGGGGACCACCAGGUUGCCUAAGGAGGGGUGAACCGGCCCAGGUCGGAAACUGAGCAGGUCAAAACUCCCAUGAUGAUCAGUAGUGGGAUUGCGCCUGUGAACAGCCACUGCACUCCAGCCGGGACAACAUAGCGAGACCCCGUCUCAA